AUGUGUUGGGAUACUGUCAAAUAUGACUUGAUUGCUGCUUUGAGACACUUCCAAGGGCUGAACACGCAAAACUUAUUUCUGCUUAAUAGUGCUGUUAUUGCCUUGCUUCCAAAGCACCAGGGUGCUGUUAGGCCUCAAGAUUUUAGGCCCAUUAGCCUAAUCCACUUCUUUGCAAAAUUAAUUGCCAAGAUGAUGGCUGCCAGACUACAACCAUGGAUGAACAAGCUAACCUCCCCAUGUCAGAAUGCAUUCAUUAAAGGGCGAAGCAUACAUGAUAAUUUUGUCUAUGUUGAUAUAGACCGAACCUCGAGGCGAGAUCCGAUCCGUUAUUGCGGCCCGACCUUUCACGACACUCCACCUUCAGCAGCAGUAGCCUCUCACCCGCGCACAUGA
rnacentral:rRNA from 1 species